rnacentral:rRNA from 1 species
UACGAAGGGGGCUAGCGUUGCUCGGAAUUACUGGGCCUAAAGCGCACGUAGGCGGCUUUCUAAGUCGGGGGUGAAAUCCUGGAGCUCAACUCCAGAACUGCCUUCGAUACUGGAAAGCUCGAGUCCGGGAGAGGUGAGUGGAACUGCGAGUGUAGAGGUGAAAUUCGUAGAUAUUCGCAAGAACACCAGUGGCGAAGGCGGCUCACUGGCCCGGUACUGACGCUGAGGUGCGAAAGCGUGGGGAGCAAACAGG